rnacentral:misc_RNA from 1 species
UAAUAAGUGUUUUAUGGCACUUUUUAAAUCCAUAUCCACCUUGUGUGCAAUGUCAGUCGAUCUUCUUCAUGGAGAUCGGCCAAACAUCAACCUUAUCUUUUAACUCUUUGUCUGAAAAAUAUUUUAAUAAAAAUUA